UACGUAGGGGGCAAGCGUUGUCCGGAUUUAUUGGGCGUAAAGAGCGUGUAGGCGGCUUUGCAAGUCCGUUGUGAAAACUCGAGGCUCAACCUCGAGACGCCGGUGGAAACUGCAAAGCUAGAGUCCGGAAGAGGAGAGUGGAAUUCCUGGUGUAGCGGUGAAAUGCGUAGAUAUCAGGAGGAAUACCGGUGGUGUAGACGGCUCUCUGGACCGUAACUGACACUGAGACACGAAAGCGUGGGUAGCAAACAGG
rnacentral:rRNA from 1 species